GCCUUGGGACUGGGCCUGAGAAGGGAGGAGUUAUUCAGGCCUCCGCCAGCUUCUAGGCCCUGGGGAUGGUCUUUCACCUCCCUCUUUCUGAUCUCUUUUUCAUGCUCCUCCUUGCUCCAAAGAAAAGCCGGAUGGCAAAAGAGCCCAGAACCUAUUGGAACUGACAAAAUCAAGUCACGGCGCCUACAAAGAUGAGGGGCAGAUUCUGGCUGCCUUUUAAUUUCGUCCUUCACCUGAUAUCUGUGCCAGAGAAUGAUAAAAAUCAUAAUAAAGGAAAUAAUGGAAGAGGAGACUUAUGUUACUGGGGACAUCUAACAUAAUUAUUUUCCUGAUUCAGUGGCAUGGUUCAGUCUUCCAGGAGUUCUGCUACAGAGAAGAGAGUAACCCCCAUCCAUCAUGGCCAAAGCACCCAGUCAGGCUCCGCUCUGGAUCCAGCCCGACAAAUGCAACCCUUGAAUAGGGUUUGUGCAAGCAAACUGGAUGACGACCGAAGAAACCCUGUCGCUUCUGAGAAGACACCCAAUCCAAGAAUAUACAGUCGAAUGUAAUUUGGAAUUUACGAGUCUUAUCACAUUCUCAUUCUGCUUGAGCAAUUCAAGAUAUAAGAAAAACAGACUGUCUACAUUUCUUCAGAGUUCCUCCAACUAUUGGCUUAAAAUUCCUGAAAUUAAAAUUAUAGUUCUUUG
rnacentral:lncRNA from 1 species